UGGUGGAAUGAUUUGUCUGGUUAAUUCCGAUAACGAGCGAGACCUCAGCCUACUUAUUGGUGACGGGAAUCUCUGAUUCCAUUGUUACGUCACAUCUUAGAGGGACUAUCGGUGAGUAGCCGAAGGAAGUUUGAGGCAAUAACA
rnacentral:rRNA from 1 species